rnacentral:sRNA from 1 species
UCCCUGGGACUGAGGAGGCAGAAUGGAGGGGCCCUAACUCCUCUCUGUUCUCCAGAGCGCAGAUGUUCUGUGUUUUACGGGGCACCAAGUAAGAGCAGACUCUUGGCCACCUUGUGUUCUGCUGAAGUCUGCCAGUGUGCUGAGGGGAAGUGCCCUCGCCAGCGUCGCGCCCUGGAGCGGGGUCUGCAGGACGAGGAUGGCUACAGGAUGAAGUUUGCCUGCUACUACCCCCGUGUGGAGUACGGUCAGUCUUCCCCCGAGGCCCUGGCCUGACCCUCCCUCGGGACCGGCUGUUUUGGUCUCUCCGGGUGUAGCCUGCUCCUCUUACAGGUCAUGCACAUAGCCUGUUUGCUCUGACACCACUUCCUACCUUCAGCCUCAAACUCACCUUUCCCCCUUCUCCUCACCCACUCUUAGGCUUCCAGGUUAAGGUUCUCCGAGAAGACAGCAGAGCUGCUUUCCGCCUCUUUGAGACCAAGAUCACCCAAGUCUGCACUUCAGUAUGAAG